rnacentral:rRNA from 1 species
ACAAGUUGAAUCAUGGGAGACACACGGCGGGUGCUAACGGUCGUCGUGAAGAGGGAAACAACCCAGACCGCCAGCUAAGGUCCCAAAGUCAUAGUUAAGUGGGAAACGAAGUGGGAAGGCUUAGACAGCUAGGAUGUUGGCUUAGAAGCAGCCAUCAUUUAAAGAAAGCGUAAUAGCUCACUAGUCGAGUCGGCCUGCGCGGAAGAUGUAACGGGGCUAAAACUAUGCACCGAAGCUGCGGCAGUGCACGCAAGUGUAUUGGGUAGGGGAGCGUUCUGUAAGCCGUAGAAGGUGUGUUGUGAGGCAUGCUGGAGGUAUCAGAAGUGCGAAUGCUGACAUAAGUAACGAUAAAGCGGGUGAAAA